CUUGACUGUAGCUUGGAAUUGGGUUCGGGCUCUUCUUGCGCAGCCUAGGUGGGAGGCGUUGAAAGCUUUCUUUUGGGGAAGCUGGAGCCAUCAGUGAGAGACCACUCUGGAGGAGCUAGAAUUCUAAUGGCGUUCCUUGAAGCAGGACGCUUGACAGUUUCAGGUGGGCAGUUUGACUGGGGCGGUCACCUCCUAAAAGGUAACGGAGGUGUGCAAAGGUUCCCUCAGGCUGGACGGAAAUCAGCCGGAGAGUGUAAAGGCAGAAGGGAGCUUGACUGCAAGACCUACAAGUCGAGCAGGGGCGAAAGCCGGCCUUAGUGAUCCGACGGUUCCACGUGGAAAGGCCGUCGCUAAACGGAUAAAAGUUA
rnacentral:rRNA from 1 species